rnacentral:rRNA from 1 species
CCUACGGGUGGCAGCAGUGGGGGAUAUUGCACAAUGGGGGGAACCCUGAUGCAGCGACGCCGCGUGGGUGAAGGAGCGCCUCGGCGCGUAAAGCCCUAUCUGCAGGGAAGAAGGAGGACGGUACCUGACUAAGAAGCCCCGGCUAACUACGUGCCAGCAGCCGCGGGAAUACGUAGGGGGCAAGCGUUACCCGGAGUUACUGGGUGUAAAGGGGGCGCUGACGGGAGCGCAAGCCGGGAGUGAAAGCCCGGGGCCCAACCCCGGGACUGCUGGUGGAACUGCGCGGCUGGAGUGCCGGAGGGGCAGGCGGAAUUCGUGGUGUAGCGGUGAAAUGCGUAGAUAUCAGGAGGAACGCCGGUGGCGAAGGCGGCCUGCUGGACUGCGACUGACGUUGAGGCCCGAAAGCGUGGGGAGCGAACAGGAUUAGAUACCCCAGUAGUC